rnacentral:sRNA from 2 species
AGUGCACGAGGGUUUUGACAGUUGAAUAUUGAGACUAUGUUCCUUUGGCUCCCCAAUAACGGAGCUACCCAGCAUGAAAUCCAAUCCGAUGUCCUUGGCGGAGAGCGGAGCGGAAUUCCGCCUUUAUCGAUAAGGCGCCAAGAGUGCUAGGUCCGCAACUCGGUUGUGCGCUUGAGCCGUACGUUGUCUUGCAUUGAGAUUUACUUGUCAAAAUCACUGAUGUCUUCGACAAUGGGAGUUGCUCUCUUGGUGAUCAGAAAGAUGGAUUCGCGCUCUAAAUGGUUUUUUUUUUCAUGUAACUUGGUGGUAUGUACGG